AUUCAGAUCAGGAAUGUUCAUAACAGAACUCAUUUUAUUAUAUCAAAUGAAAUAAAUAAAAAUAGCAAUGGAAAAUUCUAAUCAUGUUAAUGUGAGAAAAUAUUAUGUUCAGCAACUGUUCACAAGCUCUUUCAAAUUUUAAAAGUGGAAAAAUUUUCAAUGCAAUGUCCGAUAUUUGUUUCACAACCCCUACAAAACGAGAAUUCGGAUAAGUUAGUCCCCCACGAUCUUGUAAAAAAAUUAAUUUUAAGAGAGGUCCAGGAAGUUCAAAUGAUAAUAGCGGAGAAAGACAGUCAUCACAGUGAAAUUUGUCAUCUAAUUUUUUUAUAAUGUACCCUGCUAAAAAGGGACAGAAGCGGAAUAAAUAUCUGCACGUUGUUCAAUA